rnacentral:rRNA from 1 species
AUUGAACGCUGGCGGCAUGCUUUACACAUGCAAGUCGAACGGCAGCAUAGGAGCUUGCUCCUGAUGGCGAGUGGCGAACGGGUGAGUAAUAUAUCGGAACGUGCCCUAGAGUGGGGGAUAACUAGUCGAAAGACUAGCUAAUACCGCAUACGAUCUACGGAUGAAAGUGGGGGAACGCAAGACCUCAUGCUCCUGGAGCGGCCGAUAUCUGAUUAGCUAGUUGGUGGGGUAAAAGCCUACCAAGGCAACGACCAGUAGCUGGUCUGAGAGGACGACCAGCCACACUGGGACUGAGACACGGCCCAGACUCCUACGGGAGGCAGCAGUGGGGAAUUUUGGACAAUGGGGGCAACCCUGAUCCAGCAAUGCCGCGUGAGUGAAGAAGGCCUUCGGGUUGUAAAGCUCUUUUGUCAGGGAAGAAACGGUAGUAGCGAAUAACUAUUACUAAUGACGGUACCUGAAGAAUAAGCACCGGCUAACUACGUGCCAGCAGCCGCCGUAA